AACGAACGCUGGCGGCAGGCUUAACACAUGCAAGUCGAACGCCCCGCAAGGGGAGUGGCAGACGGGUGAGUAACGCGUGGGAAUCUGCCCAGAACUUCGGAACAACUGAGGGAAACUUCAGCUAAUACCGGAUACGCCCUACGGGGGAAAGAUUUAUCGGUUUUGGAUGAGCCCGCGUUGGAUUAGCUAGUUGGUGGGGUAAUGGCCUACCAAGGCGACGAUCCAUAGCUGGUCUGAGAGGAUGAUCAGCCACACUGGGACUGAGACACGGCCCAGACUCCUACGGGAGGCAGCAGUGGGGAAUAUUGGACAAUGGGCGAAAGCCUGAUCCAGCCAUGCCGCGUGAGUGAUGAAGGCCUUAGGGUUGUAAAGCUCUUUCAGUGGGGAAGAUAAUGACGGUACCCACAGAAGAAGCCCCGGCUAACUUCGUGCCAGCAGCCGCGGUAAUAC
rnacentral:rRNA from 1 species